rnacentral:rRNA from 1 species
UACGUAGGCAGCGAGCGUUGUUCGGAAUUACUGGGCGUAAAGAGUGUGUAGGCGGUGCUCUAAGUUCGGUGUGAAAUCUCCCGGCUCAACUGGGAGGGUGCGCCGAAUACUGAAUGACUAGAGUGCGGGAGAGGAAAGUGGAAUUCCUGGUGUAGCGGUGAAAUGCGUAGAUAUCAGGAGGAACACCGGUGGUGUAGACGGCUUUCUGGACCGUAACUGACGCUGAAACACGAAAGCGUGGGUAGCAAACAGG